GAUGAACGCUGGCGGCGUGCCUAACACAUGCAAGUCGAACGGAGAUUACGGACGGAAGUUUUCGGAUGGAAGCCUGUAAUUCUUAGUGGCGGACGGGUGAGUAACGCGUGGGCAACCUGCCCUAUACAGGGGGAUAGCAGCUGGAAACGGCUGGUAAGACCGCAUAAGUCGGUUAAAUCGCAUGAUUUGAUCGGGAAAUGAGCAAUCAGGUAUAGGAUGGGCCCGCGUCCGAUUAGCCAGUUGGCAGGGUAAAAGCCUACCAAGCGACGAUCGGUAGCCGGACUGAGAGGUCGGACGGCCACAUUGGGACUGAGACACGGCCCAAACUCCUACGGGAGGCAGCAGUGGGGGAUAUUGCACAAUGGAGGAAACUCUGAUGCAGCGACGCCGCGUGAGUGAAGAAGUAUUUCGGUAUGUAAAGCUCUAUCAGCAGGGAAGAUGAUGACGGUACCUGACUAAGAAGCCCCGGCUAACUACGUG
rnacentral:rRNA from 1 species